UAGCGGUUGUUAACUCACGUAGGAGCACAGAAGAACUCUGGAAACUAUACCUACCGGAAGCGGAGCAGUGUUUGAAGACCUGUGAGUUGUUUUCGGCAGAGACUGCUUCCCGGAGCCUCCAGCCAAGGUUCCUCCCCCUCUUGAUGCAGACAUCACUGAACAUCCAGAAGCAGAAAGGGGUGUUUCCAGGUCCAGGUCUAGAUCUCGCUCCACCAGACGCCUGUCCAGGUCUCCCUCCGCCAGGAAUCCAUCCACGUCUCACUCCAACA